UACGUAGGGACCAAGCGUUGUUCGGAUUUACUGGGCGUAAAGGGCGCGUAGGCGGCAAUUCAAGUCAGCUGUGAAAUCUCCGGGCUUAACUCGGAACGGUCAGCUGAUACUGCUUUGCUAGAGUGCAGAAGGGGCAAUCGGAAUUCUUGGUGUAGCGGUGAAAUGCGUAGAUAUCAAGAGGAACACCUGAGGUGAAGACGGGUUGCUGGGCCGAGACUGACGCUGAGGAGCGAAAGCGUGGGUAGCAAACAGG
rnacentral:rRNA from 1 species